rnacentral:tRNA from 1 species
GUUAAAGUGGCAGAGACCGGUAAUUGCAUAAACUUAAGCUUUUAAAACCAGAGUUCAACUCCUCUCUUUAACA